rnacentral:rRNA from 1 species
GGAGUAUGGACCGUGUCUCAGUUCCAUUGUGGCCGAUCAGUCUCUCAACUCGGCUACGCAUCACAGCCUUGGUAGGCCGUUACCCUACCAACAAGCUAAUGCGCCGCAGGUCCAUCCCAAAGUGAUAGCCGAAGCCAUCUUUUAAAUUUGAAUCAUGCGAUUCAAAUUGUUAUGCGGUAUUAGCAUCUGUUUCCAAAUGUUAUCCCCCGCUUUGGGGCAGGUUACCUACGUGUUACUCACCCGUCCGCCACUCGUUGGUAAACCAACGUCAAGUCCGUGCAAGCACGUUCAAUCAGUUGGGCCAACGCGUUCGACUUGCAUGUAUUAGGCACACCGCCGGCGUUCAUCCUGAGCCAUGAUCAAACUACU